rnacentral:rRNA from 1 species
CCUACGGGUGGCAGCAGUGAGGAAUAUUGGUCAAUGGGCGAGAGCCUGAACCAGCCAAGUCGCGUGAAGGAUGACGGCCCUACGGAUUUUAAACUUCUUUUAUAAAGGAAUAAAACGAGGCACGUGUGCCUUUUUGCAUGUACUUUAUGAAUCAGGAUCGGCUAACUCCGUGCCAGCAGCCGCGGUAAUACGGGGGAUGAGAGCGUUAUCCGGAUUUAGUGGGGUGAAAGGGUGGGCAGGCGGAGGCAAAAGUCAGCGGUAAAAUCGCGGGGCUAAACCCCGCUCCGCCGUUGAAACUGUGUGCCUUGAGUGCGCGAAGGGUAGGCGGAAUGCGUGGUGUAGCGGUGAAAUGCAUAGAUAUCACGAAGAACGCCGAUCGCGAAGGCAGCCUACCGGCGCGCAACUGACGCUGAUGCACGAAAGCGUGGGUAGCGAACAGGAUUAGAUACCCGUGUAGUC